rnacentral:tRNA from 1 species
GGGGAUAUAGCUCAGUUGGUAGAGUGUUUGCCUCACAUGCACAGCCUCUGGGUUCAAGCCCCAGUACCACCA